rnacentral:lncRNA from 10 species
CAGAAAGGUAUAUGACUUGAUCAAGAACCCACAACCAGGCAAUGAGAGGAAUAUGAGGCAAAAUCCAAUCUACUUGAUUCCACAGAGCUCUGAGUAUAGAUGAGGCAAACUUCACAUGGAAAAGAAGCCAUAUUUUGAAAAAACUACACGGAAUCAAAGAGAACUAACUCAAAGAAGCAAAAUUUUGGAGAUAAAACAAGCACCAUUCAGAAUCUGGACAUAUAAUAUGUUUAUGGCAUUUAACCUAGUCAGACAGUAGAUAUUGCUCUAAGUCAUGGCCUACACCUGUGAGCCUACUUAUAUCAGCAUUUGCCAAAUGUACUUGUAGCUGUGGUACUGACCUCAGAGAACUUAGCCAAAGAGCAAAGACUGCCUAAUUCAAGAAGUACUGAGAAGAUGUUCCAGGAUUACUUCAUGCUGUCCAGGUCCUAGACAUGGAAUCGUUUGCUUCUUCAAAAGUCUGGAUCCCUUUAAGAUACGAAAUGUAUUUAGAAACCAAAGUAUGGAUGCUAGGUGUGCUCAUGGCCAUUGGAGUGUGUUUCUAGACCCAGGAAUAAGCAAACAAUGGCCUGUAAACUAUAUCCUGUCUGUGGCCUGUUUUUGUACAUCCUAAGAACUAAAAAUUAUUUUAAAAAUUGUAAAUGGGAAAAAGUCAACAACAACAAACAAAUCAAC